GAGUGAAGAGGGAAGAGCUCAUCAUUGGAAUCUGGCAGUGUUGCACUGUCCGAGUUGUAGAUGAGGAGUAGUCCAUCUGGACUGCAUGGCGUCCAAGUACAAUAGGCCGUCAGUGGGACAUCAUAGAGGGUGACAAUCCCGUCCUUGAUGCCAAUGUGCAAGUCCGUUACGAUGGCUAUCUCAGAGAGUCGAGCAGUUUGGGAUUUGCUGCUUAAACAUGGGAGGUAGAUUCCUUCUAAAGCUAAAUACAGGCGAGAGACCGAUAGAGAACAAGUACCGCAAGGGAAAGAUGAAAUAGAACUCUGUGAAGGGAGUCAAAAGGCGUGAAAUUGUUGCGAGAGAAGCGAUUCAAGUCAGCGUAGCUAGGCCCAUCAAGCGUCUCGCUUUGGACUAGCUUUGCCAGCGGUCUUGUCCUCGGAGACUUGACAAAUUGUGUCCAGCCUGGUAUGCACAGGCAGCCCCCCUGGGGGCCAGCGGCACGGCUGGUGGAAUGGCUUGCAAUCGACCCGUCUUGAAACACGGACCAAGGAGUCUAACAUGUAUGCGAGUAUAAGGGUGGCAAACCCGUAUGCGCAAUGAAAGUGAUUUUCGGUGAUUGAGAAUGGCCUGAUGACCAGACAAGCAAUACAUGUCCCUCGGACGGCCAUUGCCCAAGUUCCGUGGUAGAUCCCACGAACAUGGAGUUGGAGCAUACAUGCUAGGACCCGAAAGAUGGUGAACUAUGCCUGGACAAAGCGAAGCCAAAGGAAACUCUGGUGGAGGCUUGUAGCGAUUCUGACGUGCAAAUCGAUCGUCUGAUCUGGGUAUAGGGGCGAAAGACUA
rnacentral:rRNA from 1 species